UGCUUUGAUAUGCAUUAAUGAAUUUUCUACACUUUGAACUUCAAGGCCUAUGGUGGAGGUGGUUCCCCAAGUUCAAGUUCCUUCAUAAUAAGGAUGGAUGAGUACAACCAAUGGAUUUGAGUGAAUUGAUCCUCAGCAUUCCGGUUGAGAUCAACAGUGACAGUUGAUGGCUGGUUUAAUUACUUGAUGUAAUUUUGAGAUCGUCUGGCACGAUUAAUGAGAUCCGUUCACAAGACAGACGAUGCUUUGACAGCGGACCUUUUGAAGAUGAUAGUAGUGCUAUUGUGACAGAUCCUUAGACUAUCUUGAUAAUGAUGCAAGGCACAUGAGACUUGGAGAAGAAGGUGGAGCAGAGCAAGAAGGAAUACUUGAUCUUGGGAGUGGACAAGUCCACUGAUCCGGUUGACUUGAAGGGCAGAGAUAUUAAAGAAGUUUAACAUUCAGAUUGCAAAGAGGUGAAAUCUUUGUUACUCUUCUAAAAUUCAUGGUGCAUAUAAAUGUGACUGGUCUAAGUUCCCAGAGGCGUUAACUGUGGAUACCGCGUUAUGAAUGGUUGAGGACUUCAACCUGUAACCUGCUGUGUCAGUCACAUGCGGGGCAUAUACUUUUGGAAGAUUGUCUUACUGCUUCCACUUUUUCAGUUUUGCAUGCGUAUCAGUUUUGUUUCCAUAACUUAUCGAUUUCAAUAUAUGAGGAUGACCAUGUAUAAGUCAAAACUUUGUUUCCCUUUA